rnacentral:lncRNA from 1 species
AAUCAUUUUUAUUGACGUUGAGUUGUGUUUGUUGGAGAUGGCUAAGCUUACUUUAAUGCAUAUUUUCGCUCUUUUCCUUUUGCUUGCAGGUUUAUUCUAGAUAGUGUAACAAUAUCUGCUUUCUUGAUAUUUAUCUAUGUAUGAUUUGCAAAACAUAUCACAGUUUAAUCACCAAUGCUAUUUGUAUAAGUGAUGGGACACUUUGGUUUUUAUAUCACAUGAUAAGAGUACAUUAUUUUAUGAAAUGAAAACUCAUGUGACAUAUUAAAUUAAAAUUUGAUGAGAGUUAGCAUGCCUAAACUUAUAAUGCUUGCAUGUGGUAACUUUGUUUUUGAAAUUUCAGGUACUUUCAUCACAAGUGAAGCAAAUAGAGGUAGUACGGGGCCACCACCUAGAAGAAAGACAGUACGGCUUACUACAGGUGGUUGCAAUCCUGUAAGAUGUCAAAGUGAA